rnacentral:lncRNA from 1 species
AAUAUAUAUAUAUAUAUAACAUACAAUAUAUACUAAUUACUACAAUACAAUAUACAAUUAAAUAUAUAUUAUAUAUACUAUACUAAUAACUAGUAUACUAUAUAAAUAUAUUUUAUACUGCACUAAUAAAUACUAUACAAGAUAUUGCCUUAAAGAAAAUUCAAAAAAAAAAGUCCGUCAGGCCCACCAACCCCGGCCCGCUAAGCCCAGGACCACAUGUGCUUAGACCCGUCACAUGCUGGUCUCGCCCAUUGAGCCCACGAAGACCGGGACCGCCAGGCCCGGGACCGCCAGAGCCCAGACCCAUGAAGUUAGGGACCGCGAAACCCGGUCUGCGAGGCCCGUUUAGGCACGGACCCGGAACAAAAUACACCCUUACUAUUCCUUUUUAGCAGAAGCUGACAAAAUAGUCAAACAUUAAAUUAAAGGACGAAAGAAAAAAUAAAAUACCAGAAGAGUUUACAAAGCAAAGAAGGCAAAUGACUUAACACUGACUUCAACCUCCAAACAGCCAGACUACAACUUGACUCGCCGGAGACUCGACCUCGACAGAUACCCCCACUCGUACAACAAUACCUCGUCUUUGAACGGUGUUUGGACUGAUUUCAGGUGUUGAAACAGUCAUUUGCAACUGAUUUUGCUGUUGAUUUUUAGGGAGUUCGAGAAAGGUGGAGAUGGCUGGGGUUAGUUUUCGCCGUUUUCCGGUGAGGUUCGGCGAUGGAGGUUUUACGAAAACUGAUUUUUUUGCAUUUGAGCAUAUGUUUUGGGUGUUUUUCCAGCUACGCUUUCAUGGCUAUUUUGGAGUGUUCAUGGCUUGAGAGGGAUGAUUAAGGGGGUGGCUUUGAGGUUUUCUAAGAGGUGGUGUGUUUUUGGGUGAAUGGUUGAUGCUCUCUUCGGGGUAGGUUCUUAGGUCUAUGUAAAAGUUGUGCUCCGCUUCGCUUCUCAAGCCUAUUUUUUGUUCCCUUUUUUCCUUUUUCUUUGGUUAAGUAUUUUCUUUUUAUAGAGAAGAACAAGGACAAAGAGUUAGAGUUGGAAUUGGAGUGGGAGAACGGGGUUGAGAAGAUA